AGUAUUAUACUUUAUAUAGAAGAGUUAGUUUGCAACUAAACAGAAGACGGAUGUUUUAAUACUA
rnacentral:tRNA from 1 species